CCUACGGGUGGCAGCAGUGGGGGAUAUUGGACAAUGGGGGCAACCCUGAUCCAGCGACUCCGCGUGUGUGAUGAAGUAUUUCGGUAUGUAAAGCUCUGUCAGCAGGGAAGAAAGAAAUGACGGUACCUGACCAAGAAGCUCCGGCUAACUACGGGCCAGCAGCCGCGGUAAUACGUAGGGGGCGAGCGUUAUCCGAAUGCACUGGGUGUAAAGGGCGCGUAGACGGCGGGGCAAGGCAGGAGUGAAAGCCCGGGGCCCAACCCCGGGACUGCUCAUGGUACUGCUCGGCUGGAGUGCGGGAGGGGCAGGCGGAAUUCCUGGUGUAGCGGUGAAAUGCGUAGAUAUCAGGAAGAACACCGGUGGCGAAGGCGGCCUGCUGGACCGCAACUGACGUUGAGGCUCGAAAGCGUGGGGAGCGAACAGGAUUAGAUACCCCAGUAGUC
rnacentral:rRNA from 1 species